rnacentral:lncRNA from 1 species
AAAAGGAGACAUAAAAUUGAACUUUUGCCACCCAUUCUUUCCCUUUUUGUCUUCCACAUACUUCAGUUGGGAAUCUUUAUAUGUGCAGUAUAUAUUUUGUGUUAUCCUUGUUAUUACAAAGUUUCUAAAAGGCUAGGUGAGCUGACUGACAGUCUGUGGAAAAAAAGGCAGUCUAUUCUGACUGCAGUGACCAAAGGAGUUCAAUUCAGACCAAACAUCUUACUCCCAUUUAGAAGGUCUUCUACUACAAGCGCAUUACCAGUUCUUUUCCUUUCUCUUUCAUUUCUCUCUACUGUCAUAUUUGUGUUUUCUGUUCUUA